AGGGCACCACCAGGAGUGGAGCCUGCGGCUUAAUUUGACUCAACACGGGAAAACUUACCUGGUCAGGACACUGGAAGGAUUGACAGAUUGAGAGCUCUUUCUUGAUUCAGUGGGUGGUGGUGCAUGGCCGUUCUUAGUUGGUGGAGCGAUUUGUCUGGUUAAUUCCGAUAACGAACGAGACUCUAGCCUACUAAAUAGACUGCUCAACUUUAUAGCUGCAUCACCUUGCGGUGGCUUCGGUUGCUGUAAGGCUGUGGUGACGUUGGCAGUGCUUCUUAGAGGGACAGGCGGCGGUUCAGCCGCACGAAACAGAGCAAUAACAGGUCUGUGAUGCCCUUAGAUGUCCAGGGCCGCACGCGCGCUACACUGAAGUGAUCAGCGUGCAAUUAACGUUUCCUACUCCGUCAGGAGUGGGUAACCCGUUGAACCUUCUUCGUGAUUGGGAUAGGGGAUUGUAAUUAUUCCCCUUGAACGAGGAAUUCCCAGUAAGCGCAAGUCAUAAGCUUGCGUUGAUUACGU
rnacentral:rRNA from 1 species